GACAGCAUUGGUGUGGGAAGCAUUGAGAUCACUCUGAAGUACAUAUCACACAAACAGGCAGACAUCCUCACCAUUUAAUUGUAUUUAUAUGUAAGGUCUAGUUACAUGUGAUUUACAUUUUGUCAGUAUGUCACAAUGGAGUAGAUCAAUCUUAAUGUUGUGUCUGUUCCAGUGUGGAUGAUCUCCUAGUGGCUAGAAUCACUCAAGACAGUUACCUAGUGGUUGUCAAAAGAAAUCCUGAUUCUAAUUACGAAGGGGAAGAGUUUCUAGAGGAUUCUUCCACCAUUGUUGCCAUUCAGAAAAUUGUUAGGCUGUUCCCAAGUGUGACUGUAUUGACGGAGUUGACUCAGGUGUCUUACAUAAAGUUCAUGGACAUCUCAGGGCUGACUUUGGCUUCUAAAAAUCUGAGGCACAAAUCCACAUCUGGGUCACAUUUGGGUGAAAUUUUCUGCUUACCAUUUGCUGCAGGUCAUUUCUUUUCAUCCAGCAUGUUGGACAACUCUGUUAUAUCAGACAUUCACCAAGAGUUAACUCAUUUCUUUUAUUUGACUUUUGCUGGGCAUUAAUGGAGAACAAGGUUCUGGACAUUUGUCAAGUUGAAGAAAGCUACUGUCAGGAAGUACCAGAUGUAUGGUCACCUGUACGAAGACUUAUGUCGACAGGUAGGCAAGUACCAUUUGCUAUCUACAGAACCCAGUCAGUGGACAACCUAGAGGUAUAUGAUUCAAGUUCUUCUGGACAUAAAGCUGACCACAACAGUUAAAAACAGGUCUGAAGGCUACUCCAUGAUGGGCAGCCAAUGUCAUCACCAAGCCAGCAUCUAACUGUUAACUCCUUGUUGGGGACAUUGUCUCUGUCCUUCAACCAGCAUCAAUGUGUGUGACUCCCAAGUGGUCUCUCCAGUGUGUACAAGCAUUGGAGCAGAAAACAAGGUGACAAGAUGGAGAAGGGUCAGUCCACUCCUAAAAGAAGCACAACUAUAAUGAAUACACAGGUGUUUGUGUACAACUUGUUGAAUUUUUUACUCACAUCUACUUUAGUCUCUUGAUGGGUAGCAAAGACAUAAGCCUUUAACUGACUGAGCCAAGGCUUAGGCCCUGAAUAGUUACAUGUAGUCUGGGCGUCAUCAUCAAGUUCAAGGUUAAAAUAUGGACAACUUUCAGUAAACUCUCACCAGAGGUCAUUUCUGGCUGGAGAGAUUUUUUAUAGAGUGUAAGUACUUAGGAACUGGCAAUAUCCUAAUGAAAAAUAUUAAUAUUUAUAAUUUGAUUGCUAAAGCACAGUUCUAUUAACUGAUGCCAUUUCUUAAUGAUGCCAAUGUAAUGUUGAUUGUUGAGUAAUGCUCUUGUGGUUAAAGCUUUAGCAAAUAUGAGUUUAUCUUUUUGACAUUUUUUAAAUUGCAUUUACAAGUGUUGUAUUUUAAAAGUUUUACAGUGUUAUUAUAGUUGUUUUUUUUAAACAUUUGACUUUUUUAAUAUUGUGUAUUAUCACUUACAUUGUAACACCAUAUUGUGUUCAAAACAUAAAUUUGAUGCCACAUUGUGUUCUAAACACUGAAAGGCAUUUUUUGUUAUACACUAAACAUUGAAGAGCAUUUUUUGUUAUACAAGUCCUACAAAAAAAAAAUAUUUUUUUUAUUCAAACAUUGUAGUAUUCAGUACUGUGGAAAUCAUUCUGUAUGUUGAAGUACUUUUACAUAGACUUUGACUGUUUUUUAUCAAAAUUAUUAAUGUUUUUGUUAUUUGUAUGCAUAUCUACUUCCUCUUAUAUGUUUUGGCAAUAACCCAUUUAUGUCAAGAUAUCCAUUAUUGGAACACUGAUCCCCUUGGUACUUAUUUAUAUCCUACUGUUCUAGUCCACCAUGGGAAUGUGCUUUUUUUAUUCAAAUAAGCUUUCAUGGAAUACCCCUUACACACAGUGGUAGUCACAGCAUUGCAGAGAUUGGUGUUCUGCAGCCUUGUAAAAAAGUAAUGAACAUUUUCUGAACAUUUUUGAAACCUAUGAAGGUUAAUGAAAAUAACUUUACUGAACUUAUGUCCGUCCAGUACUAACAAUUUUUUUGAUCUAUUAUUUCUGUAAUACUGAUGCUGUGAAAUGUUGUGAUUGUUGGAUUAGUUAUAGGCUUCUAAUUUUGUAUGUUCCAGUAUCCAGGCAAAUCCAGUAUCACUAACAAUAGCUAUUCCUUUUAAACCUGUAGAAUCUCUCUGGGGAUGAAGAACAGAAGCACAUAAUGUUUAAGUGUUGCAAUGAGACCUGAUCGCUUUGUAACCAUAGUUUCAAACUUGUAUGACACUGAAAAUGCAAAUUUUCUAAUCUGUGACCUCCCAUAAAAGAACUUUAUGAACUCAAUACAGAAAAUUUAAUUGAAGUAAAAUAUAGAUCUAUUAUAUUUCAGCCUUGAUUAAAUUAAAUUAUCCAUGGUACAUUAACAUGAUUGUCAUGGGUGCAAACAAUUUAUUUGUAUAAAACCAUUCAUUUUAGCUUCAAGUUGGUCUGGUGUAACCAGUCUAGGAGUCUAUUUUUCUUUUUCUGGUCUCAGCAUUAUUUGUAAAAAUGCCCAGAUAAUAAUUAUGAAGAUUACAAUGUCAGUGUGAUUCUUGUUCUGCAGUUUAUUGGAUAAUACUAUUUUGUGUUUAAUACUUUUUUCACUAGCAUUUCACUUUUGGUUUUGCCCAGUUCAAUGAAGCAACAGGUCUAGUUAGAAGUAUCACAUUGACAAAUUGGCAUAUGUUGUGCUCAAGAAAGUAGAAAGAGGCACAUUAUUAGAUCUUAUAAAAUACAGAUGUUACUUCAAAAAGAAAAUGAUUAUGUCCUACGCGUGUCCCUAGUCAAUCUAGUCAUGCAUAUUAACCAAUGACCUAAAUUCUGCCAAGUCACUGGUUUUCCUGGCUAGUUCAGGCAACUCAUUCCAUGCUCUAAUAGCAGUAGGGAAGAAUAAGUAUUUGUACAAAUUUGUUCUAGCAUAUGGAACAAGGAAUGUGCUUUUAUCUUUGUGCCUCUGUGUAUUUUAUUAGGGUUUGUUUUUGUAUUUGAAGAUUAUGAUUCAUUGUUUUAUGUAUAAUUGCUUCUUUACAAUUAAUUAUAAAAUCUAAUUGAUGGCAAGGGCAACCUUGUUUGCAGAUGCUAUGAUAAGUGUUGUCCAUGAAGGUGUUGUUUAUCCCCAGUGUUCUAUCAAUGAUUUUAAGAAAAUAAACUAAAAAAGAAAAUCCAAGUACAGCAGCUAAACAUAAUUAGAGUUUAAAAGCAUUUCAUUGGAGAUGUAGACAGAGCUGAUGAAAACAUUGAUGAAAAUAUUAGGCAUCAUUCCUUGGAAAUGAUAAUCAAGUUCUUCAUUGUUAUUUUUUGAACUUGUUUUUCAAAAUAAAUGGCUACUACAUAAAACACAUUACAAGAAGCUUGUGGAUCUUCUAGAGUUAUCUUAUCUUAUAUAAUACAGACGUUACUUCAAAAAAGAAGAUGAUUACGUCCUACGCGUCAUGCAUUCAGUCAUGCAUAUUAACCAAUGACUUUAAUUCUGCCAAGUCACUGGUUUUCCUGGCUAGCUCUAAUAGCACUAGGGAAGAAGGAGCAUUUGUACAAAUUUGUCCUAGCAUAUGGGAUGAGGAAUGUGCCUUUAUCUUUGUGUCUUUCUGAGUAUUUUAUUAAAUUUUGUUUUUGUAUUUGAAGAUUAUGGUUCAGUGUCUUAUGUCUAAUUGCUACUUUACUUUUGAGUCUUCUGUCCUGAAGGCUUUAUAAAUUUAGUGAUUUUACUAAAGGUGUUACUUUAGUCAAAUGUGAAUAUUUGUUUGUUAUGAAUCUCACUGCUCUAUUUUGUGUCUGUUCCAGUUUCUUAAUAAUUUCUUGAGUUGAGGGUUCCAAACAGAGGAUGCAUAUUCUAUUAUUGACCUAACCAAGGUUAAAUAACAUUUUAGUUUUAUGUUCUAAUUUGAUUUAUAGAAAUUUCUUUUAAUAAACCCUAAUGCUUUGUUUGAUUUUUUGAAAGCUUCAUCAAUAUGGGGAUUCCAUGACAGUUUUUCAUUUAUUAUAACUAUAACCUAGGUAUUUUGCGUUUUUAGUCUGUGUUACUGGUUGGGUGACUUAUUGCAUAUUAUUGUUUAAAGAACCAUGGCCAGCCUUCUGACCUAGGUGGAAAAGAAAGACAUUCUCAACAGCACAAUUCAUGUUUCUUAAAUUUUUUCUAUGAAACAUAUGUGAAUUUCAUGCAGAAAAAUACUCAACACAUUGCAACCUUUGGCAUAAAUGGGUUAAUAUUUAGUCCUAGAACAGUUCAGUAUCACUUACCUAUAUACCGUACUUAAGUAUUUUAUUUUUACUUAGAGUUUUAAAAUUUAAAAAAUCUACAAGUCUGGUU